CUUUACUGUAGCUUGGUAUUGGGUUCGGGCUUUGACUGCGCAGGAUAGGUGGGAGGCUUUGAAGUAGUCCUUGUGGGGAUUACGGAGCCAACGGUGAGAUACCACUCUGUCAGAGCUAGAAUUCUAACCUUUCGCCGUUAUCCGGCAGAGGGACAGUAUCAGGUGGGCAGUUUGACUGGGGCGGUCGCCUCCUAAAUGGUAACGGAGGCGCACAAAGGUUCUCUCAGGCUGGUUGGAAAUCAGCCGUAGAGUGUAAAGGCACAAGAGAGCUUGACUGCAAGAGGGACAACUCGAGCAGGGACGAAAGUCGGUCUUAGUGAUCCGACGGCACUGAGUGGAAGGGCCGUCGCUCAACGGAUAAAAGUUA
rnacentral:rRNA from 1 species